rnacentral:rRNA from 1 species
GGCGAACGCUGGCGGCGUGCCUAAUACAUGCAAGUUGAGCGCUGAAGGUUGGUACUUGUACCAACUGGAUGAGCAGCGAACGGGUGAGUAACGCGUGGGGAAUCUGCCUUUGAGCGGGGGACAACAUUUGGAAACGAAUGCUAAUACCGCAUAAAAACUUUAAACACAAGUUUUAAGUUUGAAAGAUGCAAUUGCAUCACUCAAAGAUGAUCCCGCGUUGUAUUAGCUAGUUGGUGAGGUAAAGGCUCACCAAGGCGAUGAUACAUAGCCGACCUGAGAGGGUGAUCGGCCACAUUGGGACUGAGACAUGGCCCAAACUCCUACGGGAGGCAGCAGUAGGGAAUCUUCGGCAAUGGACGAAAGUCUGACCGAGCAACGCCGCGUGAGUGAAGAAGGUUUUCGGAUCGUAAAACUCUGUUGGUAGAGAAGAACGUUGGUGAGAGUGGAAAGCUCAUCAAGUGACGGUAACUACCCAGAAAGGGACGGCUAACUACGUG